rnacentral:lncRNA from 1 species
CGCGGAGAGGUAACUAAGUGGGAGCAUUCAAUAUCUUCGGCGAAAUUCUUGGCGGCUUCCGGCGGAUCUUUUCACGGUAUAUCCUUUGCCAUUGUGUUGAAUAAGCUUUGGGUCAAUUGGUUCCACUUUGAGAGUUUUUGUUUCCGCAUUGUAGUUGUAAUAAUUACUUCUGCACUACAUUUUUAACUCUACAGGAUUCUUCAAUACAUUUCCAAUUUCUUAAUUCCUUCUAAUUGCUCAGUAGUCCACAAUGGUUCACUUAAAUCAUUAGAAGAAACUAUUACAAGAUUGGGAUAUAAAAUUCCAGUGCAAAUAAAUUCCCAGGAGUUCUCCAUGGAAGUUAUUUCCAGGCUAGAAGAGUUUUACUCGAAGAAUCUUUCUCUGGUGAAGAGGAUAAAGCACGAAAUCUGGUUUCAUAUUUGAUAUAGAAAAAAGAAAUCGAUGUAGCUCAAGAAUUCCUUGCUGACAGACAAACAGGAGGUGAUGCGUACUAUUUGAGAUUGUUUGAGAUAAUGGUGCUUUGUUUAAGAUUUUGGAAGAUAAUCUAUAGAACAAAGCAGUUGUUACUUGGCACGAACAAUGCAAUCCAUUAUAGGAGCGAUGGGCUAGGGAGCAUUUAUAUAAAGUUGAGGAACGAUGAAUGUGGAGUUACAGAACGUUUAUGGCUAUUCGCGUUUAGUCUUAGCUUUCUUUUAUCUUUGGGAGUUGUAGACCUUCCAAUUUACCUUCAAGAACGUCACGUUCUGAUUAAAGAACAUCCCAGGGAGCCUACAACAUUUCCUCGUACCUAAUUGCCAGUACCAUAAUCUUCUUCCCCUUUCUGUCGUAGUGGCCAUUCGUUUUUCUGUCCCAUUGUAUUGGAUAGUAGGACUCAAUCCCUUAGUUCCUGCUUUCGUAUUCUUAUUGUUUGGGGUUUGGCUUAUUGUACUGAAGGCUGCUCUUCAGUUUUAUUUCUCCAGAUUUCAUCUCAGGGAAUUCUCUGAUUUGCAUAGUUCUUGGUGAAUACCUCCUUUUUUUUGGGAUACUUCAUUCCAGAAGAGUUGAUUCCAAAACACUGGUUCUUCAUGUUCUGUGUAACGCUUUAUAGGUAUCCAUUCAACUCCCAGUCGGAAUGUAUGCUCGUGGGAUGGGACGUAUUUAAGAAUCGAGGAUUUGACAAGGACAUGAGGUGGAUAAAUGUUGGCCUUUUGCUUGAUUUAUCGAAUUCUUUCUUGGAUAAUUUAUUGCACGGAGGCUGUCAAAAACAACAGUAUGAGAUUGUAAUAUUUGAGAAAAUGGUUCUUUUGAUGUAAUGCUGCUGAACUUCAGAGUUGAAUGUGAAAACUCUGGUUUUAUACAAAUUAUUGAAUGGAU